UACGGAGGAUCCAAGCGUUAUCCGGAUUCAUUGGGUUUAAAGGGUGCGUAGGCGGACUGAUAAGUCAGCGGUGAAAUCCCACGGCUCAACUGUGGAACUGCCGUUGAUACUGUUAGUCUUGAAUGCAGAUGAUGUGGGCGGAAUAUGACAUGUAGUGGUGAAAUACUUAGAUAUGUCAUAAGAACACCGAUUGCGAAGGCAGCUCACAAAACUGUGGAUUGACGCUGAGGCACGAAAGCGUGGGGAUCAAACAGG
rnacentral:rRNA from 1 species